GACGAACGCUGGCGGCGUGCUUAACACAUGCAAGUCGAACGGAAAGACCCUGCUUUUGUGGGUUUCUCGAGUGGCGAACGGGUGAGUAACACACGAGUAACCUGCCCUUGACUUUGGGAUAACUCCAGGAAACUGGGGCUAAUAUCGGAUAGGAGCUACUGCUGCAUGUUGGUGGUUGGAAAGUUUCGGCGGUUGGGGAUGGUCUAGCGGGUUAUCCGCUUGUUUGUGGGGUGGUGGGUUACCAAGGUUUUGACGGGUAGCCGGCCUGAGCGGGUGACCGGCCACACUGGGACUGAGGUGAGGCACAGAUUCGUAAUGUACGGAGCAGUGGGGAAUAUUGAACAAUGGGCGGAGGCCUGAUGAAGAAGCGCCUCGGGCCGUAUAACGGUCUUCGGGUUGUAAACCGCAUUCGCCUGUGACGAAGCGUGACUGAAGGUAAUGUGUAAAGAAGGACCGGCUAACUACGUG
rnacentral:rRNA from 1 species